rnacentral:other from 1 species
CACUUCCUGGGGUGUUCGAUAGUCGGUUAAGUCCCUCGAGCCGAUAAUCAAAUACCUGGGUUGGCCUACAGGUGUUGUGUGCAUGUCCGUGCUUCGGAAAGCCUAAUAUGCCUGUCGGUUUCCCCACUCUGAACCUUAGGGUUCAGGGCCAAUACCGACGCCGGCAUCCUGGGAGGCCC